GAGGCUGGUGAAGAUCAGGCCCCCAAAGACAUUUUAUCUUCCAGGUUCCCUGACGCUGCUAUGGGAGAUACCCGCCCCCACGUGCGUGUACAUACACACACACAGCGCGACAAUGACCAGAGUCCAUUUACAUCUGCCACUUCAUUUAUUUAUUUUUAUUUGCAGGAGGAGUUGAAACAAAUCUUUAAGGGGGGUUUCCCCUUAAACAUGAAUCAAGUAAAACCAACUUAACUAUAGAAAUGUAGCAAAGGGUAAAAGUAGCACAACAACCCAAGAGGCUAAGGUUGGGGGGGAGGGGGGGGUGGAGAGAGGUGGGUGCAGUCCGCAUAUACCAUAUGCAUAAGUGCCAUAUGAUUCACCUGCUCAGGACCGCCUCCCCAGAAGGCAAGCACAAGGACCCAUUUUAAGAGGAUGUUUUCCCCCCCAAACAUCUGAGAAUGCUUCAACUUAAAGCUUAAGGUUAAAAAGGAAAAAAAAAAAAGAGAACCCCACAAACCACCCAGCCAUAACCACCUUCCUUAAUCAAUCAUAGGAGUUUCUUUUCAUUUUAUAAAAAGAUUAAUAAAAAA